CUGAUUUCAUGAAAAUGUUCACAUACAGAAGACUUAAUUCGACAGUUACAACUUACAACAACAUACUUCGCUCGGAACAAAACUUUGGCAUAAGACCUGCCUGACAUCUAUUUGUUGUAAGAUACAAUGAGCAUAAGACUACCAAAACAUGUAUUUGUAAGAUAUAAUGUGCAAAGUUUUGACAUAAGACUGCCAAACAUGUUCUGUAAGAUACAGUGCAGAGCUUUGCUUUAGGAAGAUUCUGCUUCUAGACCAAAG
rnacentral:misc_RNA from 1 species